rnacentral:rRNA from 1 species
AUUGAACGCUGGCGGCAUGCUUUACACAUGCAAGUCGAGCGGCAGCGCGGGGGCAACCCUGGCGGCGAGCGGCGGACGGGUGAGUAAUGCAUCGGAACGUAUCCCGUAGUGGGGGACAACCCAGCGAAAGCUGGGCUAAUACCGCAUAUGCUCUACGGAGGAAAGCAGGGGACUCGCAAGAGCCUUGUGCUAUGGGAGCGGCCGAUGUCCGAUUAGCUAGUUGGUGGGGUAAAGGCUUACCAAGGCGACGAUCGGUAGCUGGUCUGAGAGGAUGAUCAGCCACACUGGGACUGAGACACGGCCCAGACUCCUACGGGAGGCAGCAGUGGGGAAUUUUGGACAAUGGGGGCAACCCUGAUCCAGCCAUGCCGCGUGCGGGAAGAAGGCCUCGGUUGUAACCGCUUUGUCGGAGAAGGUACUCCUAAUACGGGGACGUGUUGAC